UUCACACACAUGCAGAUGCACUCUUACUCCUCAGACAUGCUUUCCCUCUCUCCCCUUUUCUACUGUCGCUGCGUUGGACCAAAUACUGCACAGGAGGUUAUUUCAACCACUUAAAUCAUUAGUCAGUGCUGGUUUUGGGAGCAAGCUUGUUAAAAGGAUGGCGUGUGUACAGUGUGUGCAUGUGUGUGUGUGAACGUGCUGCUGCUGCACGCCUCCUUCUCUUCAUCUGGCUGUCUGAGGAGCUGUGGACAGAAGCUGAGGACGUGAGGAGAGAUUUGUCACAGUACUUUUACAUCAUCAACAUCUGAUCAGACAUGGUCACCGCAUAGGAAUCUCGCACCACGACAAGCAUCAGCCCAACAACAAGGUACCCGAGGAGGCUGAGAGUUGAGAAAAGGGAGGUUGAAGAAAAUCCAGUCAUGGCAGCGGAGGAGAAGCCAGGUGUGAAGAGCAGCAGCUCCAUUGUCCCCUGUUUCCUGUUUGUUGAGCUGGUGAUCAUGGCUGGGACGGUUCUCCUGGCUUACUACUUCGAGUACACAGACACUUUCCCUGUGCACGUCCAAGGGUUCUUCUGCUAUGACAAGACCUUCUCCAAGCCCUACCCAGGACCGGAUAGCACCAGCAAGAUCCCCCCUGUGCUCAUCUACUCGCUUGUCUCAGCCAUCCCCACUCUCACGAUUCUUGUCGGAGAAUUGUGUGCUUUCUUCACCAAGGCUGAAGGGACCCAGGAGAAGACCAUUGUCACUGCAGAUUGCUGCUACUUCAACCCCCUGCUGAGACGCAUCAUUCGCUUCUUAGGUGUCUAUGCCUUUGGUCUGUUUACCACAACCAUCUUCGCCAAUGCCGGCCAGGUUGUGACAGGAAACCAGACUCCUCAUUUCCUAUCAGCAUGUCGACCAAACUACACCGCACUGGGCUGCCAGUCCAACAUGCACUACAUCACAGAACGCCGCGCCUGCACCGGCAACCCUCUCGUGGUCAUGUCUGCGCGUAAAUCCUUCCCAUCCAAGGACGCAGCGCUCAGCGUCUACUCAGCGGUGUACACAGUGAUGUAUGUGACGCUGAUGUUCAAGACCAAAGGUACACGUCUGACAAAGCCCACCAUCAGCUUCACCCUGCUCUGUCUGGCCAUGAUCGUAGGCGUGGUCAGGGUGGCUGAAUACCGCAACCACUGGGCCGAUGUCCUGGCGGGAUUCUUCACUGGGGGCGCUAUCGCUGUGUUUUUGGUGACAUGUGUGAUUAACAACUUCCAGCAGUUGCAGCCCAGGCUUCCUACACCACAACCCCAGCGCCCUGAGUCCACACUGGGUAUGCCCAUGGUGACGCUGCCCUGUGUGGAGAGUCCACUCGAAAAGUUAAGUGGUCCUCAGCAUCCAGCACUUUGCUCCUCCCCCCCACUUUACAACACCUACGUUCAACCAUUCUAACCAACUUUAAGUAUUUUUGGCUCCCACCUCACGAUCCCCGUUCUUUGUUCUUGCCAUGUUUCUGUUUUGUACAUACCCCGCAGAGAUCUCCGUUCACCGAGAUCACAUGACCAUCAGCCCUAUCGGUUCCCCGCCAAACCCGAUGCCCUCAUACCGUCUCGCUCCAUUUCCAGCGAAGUCUAGACCAGCCCGAGCAGCACUCGCCGCACUGCGCCGCCCAUCCAGCCGGGCGGUACGCAACCCUGCACCGCUCCUAUUCUACGCAGGUCUAGAACUUGAGCACAUGCGCCCCCUUCUUUUUGCCCCGCCUCAACUCCCAGGGAACCGAUAGGCAAGACUUUUUCAACUGACUUUCUCCCCAAAAGACUUUUUGCUGUCUUUCUACUUUUUUUAAUGUGAACUCAUGUGAGCUGGCGCGCUUUGUGAAAGAAAGACAAACUGUGACCACAGAGAAUGUCCACGUCCCCCACCCUCCCACUCCCCCAAAAUGCGCAUUUGAUUAGGAGGCACACGCUGAAAGCAAAAUGCGACAAUGAAAUUCCACCACCGCCAUUUCAUGUGUCGUUGGACCAAUGAAACCCUCUGAAAGAUACGUUUACUCACCUAGCACAACCUUUUCUUGCUUUUCUGCGCUCCCUCGCUCAAUCUUUUCACUCACAUUCUCUAUCUCAUUACUUUCAUGCAUGCUGCGCCUCAAAGGCACACACACACACACACACACACACACACACACACACACACGCACACGCGGUAGUCGGAGUCUCCAUGUUCCUGUCCGCUCGGCUUGAGGUUUACUCACAUCAAAGGAUCCAUUUUGGAUCUGUUGGCAGACUCAGCAGACAAAAGCAAACAGGAUUAAAGAAGAAACAUCUUCACAUGCCGAUCAGCCUCAUGUUUCUCUCUCAGAUGGUCGCAAACUGAUGCAAAGUACUUACAUCUGCGAUAACAAAACAGGUGUUCUUUCAGGCAAGGAGGCUUUAUUUAACGCCGACAUUUUUCUGUCAGUUAGCGUUGGCAUGGGUACCGCUGAUCGUGUUUGCAAGUUGGAUAGGAUUUGGAGAUGAUUAUCUUGACUCCAAAAGCUCUUUGUCAACACAGGCGCUCUUAAGGCAAAGUUCUUAAAGGCAACAUGACGUCAAAGGCUAAAUCCUUCCACAUUUCAUUCUCGCCUCGAUCUCAGAGGGAUGGGAAAACAAUCAUACGUAUUUUAAAGCAUUGUCCCAACACACGGCUGAUCCGAGGUCAGAUUUUAAGGGAUUAUUAUCCUAAAUCAAACCAAACACCCGAUUGCUUUUGAUAUCUGACACAGGAUAGCUGAGGGCAGAGGUUAAAGGUGUUCUUUUCUUAAAGUACUGCAUAACAACAGGGUUCCAUAAGGAUUUUACAUUUCAAAAUUCUAUCUAUCAUUAGUCUAUCAUUAGAGCUGCAACAAUUUCAAUUUCAGCCUCUCAAAUGUGAAUAUAUUUUCAUUUCCUUAGUCAUCCAUGAAAACAGCACUUUUUAUCUUUGUGGUUUAGGCAAAAUAAGACAUUCACACGUAUCAGCUUUGACUUUGGAAAACAGCGACCGACAUUUGUGUCUCUUUUCAGAUAUGCUGAAGACCAAACCACUAACUGUUUGUGUUAGGUUCAUGUAGAUUUGGGCAGCCACCAUCACCCCACAAUGUCAAACUUUUUAUAUAUUUUAUAUUUGAAGGGACUGUUUUCAAUGCAACGUGAGCUGCAGCGCUGAGACCCUGUCUCUUUUUGCUGUGCUCUUCUCCAGCGGUUAUCUGCAGCUGUGUGUUGGAUGGGCGGCCACGUUAAACCUCCACCCUAUGUCCUUUCUCUUCCACUCAAUCUUGACAACCCAGAAACAUGGCAUGUACCUAGCGGCGACGUAGCAAGCGAAUAGCGCAGACAAGAACGUGAGGUGCAUUCACAGACAUUAAAUCAUUCCGAAAGUUUUUUUUUUUACCAGGCAAAGACCCGCAAAGUACUGAAAACGACUCACUUGUGGGUCAUAUCACUAUCCACUUUUUACACCGAAAGCUGUAUAUUGUUGUAUAUAGUUUUUUUCUCUCAUCUUUUUGUAUCAAAAGUAAUAUUUUUACGCAGACAUUACCAACACUCUUGGGGGAAAAUCUUGCAUAUAGUAGAUUAAUAAAGAUGAGCGUGCGGAGACACCAGAUCACUCUUGAGGUAUUAUUAUCGGAUAUAUUGGCUCAGAAAUAUCAAGGUAAUUAGUUUUAAAAUGAGCUGCCUUCUGCACCGAGACAAGGGCUGGAAACUGGGAAAAGAUCUGUAAAGCUGAACAUUUCAAAGUGAGCCACAUGCAAGAAAGCCAACAUAAUUAAAGAAAAACAUUCACGCUUGCGGCUGAAGCAACUAAAGAAGAGCGUUUUCAGAGCUAAGAAAGAGUGCAUCUAGCGCAAGGGGUGUCCAAAGUGCGGCCGGGGGUCCAUUUGCGGCCCACGGCUGUUUUUUUUAUUGGCCCGUGGUACAUUCUAAUAAUGUUUUCAUUUCACAAGAAAACUAAAAACUAAACAGCAACAGCAUAAAUGGAAACGUCAGAAGUAAUUCCAUAAGCACAAAGUCAAAAUAUUCAUUAAAAAAAAUUGUAAUUUAAUGAAAAAAAGACAUAAUUUUACUAGAAUAACCUUGUAAUAUUAUGAUGAAAAAUAAUGUCAUUUUAGUAGCAUACAUUUGAAUAAAUAAAUAUAAAAUAAAAUACUAAUAAAUAAGUAAGAAAAAUAAAUAAAUAAAUAAGAAAAAUAAAUAAAUAAAUACAAUAAAUACAAUAAAAUAAAUAAAUAAAAAUAUGUUGCAAUAUUAUGAGAAACAAACAAAACAAUGACUAAAGAUUUCAUUUUUGCAUACAAAGUCAUAACGUUACGAGAAUAUUAUCAUAAUAUCAUAAUAUUAUAUUAAUAUAAAGUCAGGAUUACGAGAAGAAAAUUUACAAGAAGAAAGUUUAAAUCAUUGGAAAAUUAAAACAAACAACAGCAGCAGUGUCAAUUUUAAGAGAAAAAAAGUUCCAUUCUAAUGAGAAAAAAGGUGCAAUUUUACAAGAAUAAACUCCUAAUAUUAUGAAGAAAAAUAAUGUCGUUUGAGUACCAUACAGUUGAAAUUAAAUUAAUUAAAGAAAAAAAAAGUCAUAAUAUUAUGAGAAACAAAACAAAAUGAAGUUGGAAUUGUUGGAAAAUUUGGUUGGGCCAAAAAUUAUAAUUUAAUGACAAUGAAGUCAGAAUAUUACAAGAAGAAAAUUAGAAAAAUAAAAAUCUUUUUAGAAAAAUGAUUAUUUAAGAAGAAAGUUUAUUAUUUGGAAUUAAAAAAAACAACAGCAAAAAUUGGGAAAAAAGAGCAAAGGCUGAAGUUCAUACUAAUAAUGCAAUUUCUUUCCUUCAUCACAAAAUAAGAUGCAGUUUUUUCUUCAAGUAUAUAUAACCUCUUAGCAUAUCCGCAUUUUUCGGUAUGUGGCCCCCAGUGGGAAAAGCUUAGACACCCCUGAUAUAACGAAUGCAUCCCGUAAAAGCAAACAAAGAUUAGAACCCUCCUGUUUUCCCUGGAAAACUUUUUUUUUGCACUACUUUCCCGUUGUUCUCCCUUAGUUUCCAGUAUGAAAAAAAAAGUGUUUAUUGUUAUGAUUGCUUCUUAUUUAGACAAAGUAGGAUCUCAACUCUUCAUCGCUCCUGCAGAACAACUCUACAACGUGCAGCCUUCUGGGUGACGUAGUAUGUCGACAUUUACUAACACAGGACUGCAGGUGACAAUGGUGAACUUCAUUUGACCUUUCUUUCCUUAUUUUCAAAUGCAACUGUUGACAGGUCUGCACUAUAAGCACCAGCCGCUGCAAUACUUCUUGUACAUUUCAUGGCGUAAUAAAGACAUUUUUGGGGGGUUUUACACAGCGCAACACAGGAAUGAGAACGUUGAUCUUUUGUACGAUUCUUUUUUUUUUAUUAUUUCAUAUUCAUGGCAUUUUGAUUAUACAGUAUGUUCUUCAGUUGAGCUGUGAGGUUGAAGUGAACGUUUACGGACUGUCAUGCACUGCGAGAAGGCUAAAAAUAAACCCGCGUGGAGACACAGACAGGCCGUGCACACGCACCCGGUAUCAGCCACGUGUACAAAACUUUGUGUCAAACUCAUGACGUUCGCAGCACGACGCCGUUGCUUCUUCGUCGUCCCCGUGAGGCAGAAAUGCCUUAAGGUGAUCUUCAAUGAAUGGGACGCAACAGCGCAUACGGACGAUGAUUAUUCUGAGUGUAAUGUGUGUUCAAAUGUUCGGUGCACGAUUAACAUUUGUGCAUUGUGAGUCAGUGGUGACUGUCUGAGAGCUGCUUUUCGUUUUAAAACCACCGAGAUACUGUAGAAUAAAUGUCAACACCAAAAGGAACAACUCAUCAACUGGUCAGAAUAUACAAUAUUUUCCACUGGUUCAGUCCUCUAAAGUUAUUUCUGCUUCACAGUGAAGAAAAAAAAACACACUCCUGUUGACUGACAAGUGAAUAAAAAGCACCGAUCUCCUUCAGCUCUGCAACUCGGAAGGAAAGAUGUUUCCUUUCUUCAAGUCUUGUUGCAGCAAAGUGUUUGUUUUGUAAAGAUGUGUGUGAUAAGAAAAAUAAAUGGGUAUUGCAAUAA